UACGGAGGGUGCGAGCGUUAAUCGGAAUUACUGGGCGUAAAGCGCACGUAGGCGGCCUGUUAAGCUGGAUGUGAAAGCCCCGGGCUCAACCUGGGAAUUGCACCCAGAACUGGCAGGCUAGAGUACGGUAGAGGUGAGUGGAAUUUCCUGUGUAGCGGUGAAAUGCGUAGAUAUAGGAAGGAACAUCAGUGGCGAAGGCGACUCACUGGACUGAUACUGACGCUGAGGUGCGAAAGCGUGGGGAGCAAACAGG
rnacentral:rRNA from 1 species